rnacentral:tmRNA from 1 species
GGGGGUGUAAAGGUUUCGACUCGGAAGUAGAAUACGUUAAUGGCAUGCGGAGGACGUCGGUUGGCCUCCUUAAUCAUCCGAUAAGACAAUAACUGUCAACGAGCAAGAAGAUAACCUUCUUAUGGCUGCUUAAGACCUAACAGUCUUAAGUGCCCGACAGCUCAAGACCUGACCAGGAGUUUUGAGGCCUGUCGUCAUCACCCUGGUGUGGUGUGGCAUUUUUCGCUCUUUGGGAUGCUAUACCGAGACUUCAAGGAGCAAGUAGGUUCCAAGUGGGGCGCCUCCCAGCGAAACCGACUUUCAAUAGGAGGCGAUAAGCAUGUAGUCAUUCGUAGGACAUUUGCCGAGGACGAGAGUUCGAUUCUCUCCACCUCCAA